AUUGUUUGCACAUCUUAAACAAAAAAACAAAACCUUAUUGUUGGAAAUAAUCUGCAUUGUUUAUAGAAAAUGACAAACUAUUUUAAACUGUUUAAUUUUAUAUAAAGCAACUUUAGUGACGUAAUUAUAUUUAAUUCCCCCUCCAGUUCUAAUCUGGCAGAGAACUUAGCAAAGAAGCUCUUGAGACCACAGAUGUAUUAUGUAUAGUCAGAUGUGGUCAGUUAGCGACAGUUGGUGGCUAGAUGAAGGAGAUCGGUGGCUGGCGGAAACAACUACAUUGGGAGAAAAAUUUGGAAAAAGUACCAGUGUUACAACGGGCGCCUCACUUAAGAGCACUUUCACACUUUGAAAUGCACGUUCACAGUCAGAGGACCACCGAAAUGGUACGGAAGGGCUGAGCAGUCUAGUAAGAGGCUCAACAACAGUGGACAAGUUUCUACAAAACCCCCUAUAGUACCCAGCCAUGCCUAGAAACUGGCGCAGUUCACGUCGUGUGGCUGGAGUAGGGAAGUCUGGGAGAGUUAAUGACACUUAUACAGAGGAUUUGUUAGCAGUGAAAAGAUAAUAACAAGAAAGGAACAGAGCAUAAAGAAAACUAAACCCUGAGGCCUAGAAGAAAACAAUGGUAGGCUAGGCUAUGCUAGGCUAAGCUAUGCUAAUAGCAACAUAGGAACAAAGAAAACAAAGGAGAAGGGAGGCUAACAGCAAGGUUAGUGUAAUGUUAAUGCUAAUGGCUUAUGCUGAUGGUUGCUAAUGGAUAUUCCGAUGGAUAAUGCGAAUGGCUAAUGCUAAUAAAAAAAAAAAAA